rnacentral:rRNA from 1 species
GACGAACGCUGGCGGCGUGCUUAACACAUGCAAGUCGAACGGUAGGGCCCUUCGGGGUACACGAGUGGCGAACGGGUGAGUAACACGUGGGUGAUCUGCCCUGCACUUCGGGAUAAGCCUGGGAAACUGGGUCUAAUACCGGAUAGGACUCCUGGCUUCAUGGUUGGGGGUGGAAAGCUUUUGCGGUGUGGGAUGGGCCCGCGGCCUAUCAGCUUGUGGGUGGGGUAAUGGCCUACCAAGGCGACGACGGGUAGCCGGCCUGAGAGGGUGACCGGUAACACUGGGACUGAGAUACGGCCCAGACUCCUACGGGAGGCAGCAGUGGGGAAUAUUGCACAAUGGGCGCAAGCCUGAUGCAGCGACGCCGCGUGAGGGAGGACGGCCUUCGGGUUGUAAACCUCUUUCAGCUAUGACGAAGCGCAAGUGACGGUAGUAGCAGAAGAAGGACCGGCCAACUACGUGCCAGCCGCCGCUGUAA